rfam:Salmo salar isolate Sally breed double haploid chromosome ssa03, whole genome shotgun sequence.
UAGCUCAGUUGGUAGAGCAUGGUGUUUGCAACGCCAGGGUUGUGGGUUCAAUUCCCAU